AUUGAACGCUGGCGGAAUGCUUGACACAUGCAAGUCGAACGGUAGAGGGGGCAACCCCUCGAGAGUGGCGAACGGGUGAGUAAUAUAUCGGAACGUGCCCAGUCGUGGGGGAUAACGUAGCGAAAGUUACGCUAAUACCGCAUACGAUCUAAGGAUGAAAGCGGGGGAUCGCAAGACCUCGCGCGAUAGGAGCGGCCGAUAACAGAUUAGGUAGUUGGUGGGGUAAAGGCUCACCAAGCCAACGAUCUGUAGCUGGUCUGAGAGGACGACCAGCCACACUGGAACUGAGACACGGUCCAGACUCCUACGGGAGGCAGCAGUGGGGAAUUUUGGACAAUGGACGCAAGUCUGAUCCAGCCAUUCCGCGUGCAGGAUGAAGGCCCUCGGGUUGUAAACUGCUUUUGUACGGAACGAAAAGGUCUCUCUUAAUACGGGGGACUCAUGACGGUACCGUAAGAAUAAGCACCGGCUAACUACGUGCCAGCAGCCGCCGCAG
rnacentral:rRNA from 1 species